AUGCUGUAUGAUCACACUGUUAGGGCAAGAGGGGUAACGAACAGCACGGUUUGCAAUAUUGAAUUGAUUGCUUCAGGGAACAGAUCUGUGUUAGAGAUAACUGGCAGCGCACAAAGCCAUUUCCUACCUGCGCCUAUGGAGCGGCUGCUCAGGCUUUGCUGGCAGGAAAAAGCAAAAGGAGCUUCUGUGAAGCUGAAGUGGCUGAGCCCAUCCGGGCUGAAGGGCUCUUAUCUCACAUUUCUGAGUUGGUAUUCAGAGAGUGUCAGCCAACCUGGAGCAUUAUCCUGGUCUUCAGCAACGUGGUGUUUGGAUUGGCCUUCCAGCAGUGCUGCCAAUUGGGGCACUGCUAUCCUCCUCAGCUGCUACAUGGCAAUGAAGACAUGGGGAUCUGGAUCUUCAGAGUGGAAGAUGAGUUUCAUUGCUGUGGGUCUGGCUGUCAUGCAGACUGCCCGGACCUUGUGGACUGCCUAUGCUGGGGCACAGGAAAGUUUCACUCUGGCUGGAUGCUGCUGUGGAACUGCUAUUGAGAUGGGCAAACUCUGCUUAGUUCCAGUGAGCUUCCAGAGUAAGAAAUAAAUGAAGGCACCACCAUUACAAGUUGUGAUUCUCAGCUCAUGCAACUUCAAGGUCUACUGGCUAAUGAGUUGUGCAAUGGAAAGGAGGAAAUAUUUGUCUGCAAUCCUGAAUACUUCGUUACACAAUAUAAGACUCUAUUUUAACUCUGAAAACAGAUUUGUCUCCUUAGAAAAAUCUCUUUAGCUGUAAGCUGAAUGAGAUAUGCAUAAUUUGGGGAGUGUUUUGCAUAUAUAUAAAAUUCUUCAUUUAAGGAUCUUGCAGCAUUGAAAAUUAUUAAUUCACCAGGACAGCAUAGUAAUAUAAUAACACUCAUAUCAAAGUCAUCAAGAGCAAUACUAGCUAUGAUACUGAUGUGAAGUUUGCAGAGAUAUGUUCAGUACUUUGAGAGGAUGGUAGACCUAUCUUGUAGCUGUUCAGAAUUAUGGAAGAGGUUAAUGGAAUAGGAUAAAGUAAGAGUAACGUGUAAGCAAGUUCUUCAGUAUUAAGAAGCAUUUCUGUUAUGAACAUCCAGGUUUCUAAAAGGGAGAAAGCACAGUAUCAUUUGUACACUGGGGAAAUUUUAGAUCUAGCUGUGCUAUAGUAGUGAACAAAGAGGAAAGAUGCUGGGCAGACUUUCAGUUUCAGGGACUGAAAAUGACUGCAUGAAAGGUGACCUUUGGUUUUAGUGUGAGGAGUCUGUGGCUUUUGCAUAUUGCCAACCCUAAUUAAGGAAUUGAAUCACUGCAGGGAUUGUUGUGAAAACCUCCCCUACAAAUUAGAGAAGCAGCCUGCAAAUUAAUGACUGAAGCAUGAAAUAGGAGAUGGGAAAGAUUACUUAGGAAUAUACCUUGUUGGAACAAGUAGCUGAGAGCAAUUACUGGAGUAGCUGAGAGUAGCUCCAGUUGGCAGGAAGAACCAGCCAGCAGAAAGCAUCACCAAGAACAGUGAGGGUUAGACAUGUUGCACAUGGAUGACUGUUCUGUUCUCCUUGGGCACCAGAAUAACCUUCCUACCAGCAAGA
ensembl:lncRNA